rnacentral:piRNA from 1 species
GUGGUCCUAGCUACUCAGGAAUCUGAGGC